rnacentral:miRNA from 1 species
AACCUCAUCGACCAGAAGGGAUUCCUUCCGGUCGAUGAGGUACAACAACCUCAUUGACCUGAAGGAAAUCCUUCUGGUCGAUGAGGUA